rnacentral:tRNA from 1 species
GCGCCUGUAGCUCAGCGGUUAGAGCAUGCGUCUUAUAAGCGCAGGGUCCUUGGUUCGAAUCCAAGCAGGCGCA